GAANUNUCNNCUGCGGAGGGACAUUACCGAGUUAUACAACUCAUCAACCCUGUGAACAUACCUAAAACGUUGCUUCGGCGGGAACAGACGGCCCUGUAACAACGGGCCGCCCCCGCCAGAGGACCCCUAACUCUGUUUUUAUAAUGUUUUUCUGAGUAAACAAGCAAAUAAAUUAAAACUUUCAACAACGGAUCUCUUGGCUCUGGCAUCGAUGAAGAACGCAGCGAAAUGCGAUAAGUAAUGUGAAUUGCAGAAUUCAGUGAAUCAUCGAAUCUUUGAACGCACAUUGCGCCCGCCAGUAUUCUGGCGGGCAUGCCUGUUCGAGCGUCAUUACAACCCUCAGGCCCCCGGGCCUGGCGUUGGGGAUCGGCGGAAGCCCCCUGUGGGCACACGCCGUCCCUCAAAUACAGUGGCGGUCCCGCCGCAGCUUCCAUUGCGUAGUAGCUAACACCUCGCAACUGGAGAGCGGCGCGGCCAUGCCGUAAAACACCCAACUUCUGAAUGUUGACCUCGAAUCAGGUAGGAAUACCCGCUGAACUUAAGCAUAUCAAAA
rnacentral:rRNA from 1 species